rnacentral:rRNA from 1 species
UACGUAGGCAGCAAGCGUUGUUCGGAGUUACUGGGCGUAAAGGGUGUGUAGGCGGCUUCGUAAGUUCGGUGUGAAAUCUCCUGGCUUAACUGGGAGGGUGCGCCGAAAACUGGCGGAGCUGGAGCGCAGGAGAGGAAAGCAGAAUUCCUGGUGUAGCGGUGAAAUGCGUAGAUAUCAGGAGGAAUACCGGUGGUGAAGGCGGCUUUCUGGACUGCUGCUGACGCUGAUACACGAAAGCGUGGGGAGCAAACAGG